rnacentral:misc_RNA from 1 species
CCUGGCAGUCGUCGCUCCCGGCUGCUUUGUGCGUCGGUUUCGCUCUUCCAGACGCUGGCGCCGAGGCAUGCUCUACACCCCUCCCUUCCCAACAGCUCCCGAUUCACACAGAUACACUGCCACGCCCUCACACUCUUCCAGACGAGCAGAGGGACACACUCGGAGACUGUCGAGAUCAGGUAGGAGCCGCAGUCGCCUUCCGCUUGCGAAUUUUCAGACACCGCUCCCUUUUUCGGCCCUCAUCACUCUCUCGGUGUUUUGGUUUGCGGUGUGGCAUCGCCAUCCGUGCACAGCUGUGAGGCCAGUGCGUUCGAUGCGCAACUUGCGCCCUCUCCCACUCUCUCUCGCCGCGACCCUUUUUCGUUCCUGGACCCUCUAGACCCUCCCUUUGCGCGUCUGUCUGUGUGUGUGCAUGUGUGUGCACGCGCAUGUGUGGGGUUGGACGCAAUAUGCUCCGUCAUGCGGGCCAGUUCUCACGGAUGGAGGCUGGGGUGUGCUUAUUCGGGGGCAGCGGCACGAAUGCUAUCCACGCACACUUGCCAUCAACUCGCCGCAUUAUCUUUUCUGCUGCGAGACCCUCGACAGUUCCCGGUGGUGAUCGUGACAGGACGCUCUAUGAGCGCUUUCACAACUCUCUAUCGCCUUCUCCCGACUGCUGCAUACAUGAUGUACAACACGGAAGCUAGGUUCGACGGAUGCACCGCGUUCAUCAGGGCCGACUAUCCAGAUGUGCCGCGUCCGUCGUCGGUGCGUUUGGUCCCACACACUUCAGCACUCCUGGGCCCGGAGCUGUGCGAAAAGAGUGGCGCUUACGUGGACGUCAUGCAAGCAGCUGCAGAGACGGUCGGUGCCGCAGAGGUGGCGCCUUCGUUGAAUGUUGACGAUGGGGUCGCCGCCGAGUUCUGUGGAGGCGGGAGCAUCACUCCAGGUGAGCUGGACGAGGAGCUGCGACAAAGCAUUACCUCCUCCUUUAAUGAGCAGUUCAUCGCUUCCAUCGAGGAUGAGUGCGGCCCGCCAUCCGCGCAUCGGUCCUGCAGAGAGACAGCGCCGGUGCAGCCCGCGGGAAAGCUAGAGGCACGGCGGCGGGGCCGCGAAUUCUUGCACCACAGCAAGCUUCACCGUGUCGGCAGUGGCUCAGUCGUCUCUCAUCACAACAUGCAUCACGAGGCAGUGCAGCACGGCAUUCAUUGGGUGGUGCCACGGUGGCUCAUCGACUGUAAAGUGGAUCUUCGAAAAGCGAUGUACGCAUGGCGCAGUUUGUUGAGUCAGUCACGCCCCGGCGAGGUCGUUUCUCUUGUACUGUUCGUCAACGUGGAUGUCGUGGACCUCACCUCCCUCAUAGGGCAUUCUGGUCUUCGCGACGCGCGGGGGUGGCCACGUUUGAAAAGCAACGCGGUCCAGUAUGAAAAACUGUGCCGAGCCUCACCUCCACCUGAGGGCUGCGCAGCUUGCGCAGCCCUCAAGUUGCCUCUCCGCGCUCCUUCGCAGCUGCGGGCAGCUCUGCUUUCUCUGGAAGCGAACGCAACCGCCGUCGCCGAAUCCUCCUCCGGCUGCGCGCCAUCGGCUGAAGUGGUGGGUGCAAGAACACCUGCGCAAAGCAUAGGCGCGCAGAGCGGUGCCUCAGCUGGCCUGCCGCCGCGAAGAGGGAGCUUAGAGGUUCCUAUUGUGAAUUGCUGGGCUAAGGCAUCCGCGAUGGAGAUAGAGCACGCAAAACAUGCACACCGACUUACGGUAGACGCUUUCAGACAUCUGUUUUCCGUGUUCGACGUGCACCAUCCGAUGCACCGGCGUCGCCUGCGUGGCCAGCGUUCCAUGCACGAGAGCCUUCAGCGGAUUCCAGAUCCGCUCCAGAAGUGGCAGUGGGUGUUGCAGAAGGACAGCACUCCGUACCCCGUGCCACUGUCUGAUGCAACGCUGUCUCGUGUGUUGCCUUACGUGCUGGUAAAGGACGCGAAGGAGCAGCGCCGGCAGCACCAGCGGGCGCUCCGACGCAAUGUGGUCGAUGCGGCAACGUUGCAGAGCCUGAAUUCCCGGGGUCUCUCCGCGGCCGUCUUCACUGCGGGCAGUGCCCGGGCUGGCGCCCCGUUUCCAAACCCGAGGUACUUCACCACCCUUGUGUCCGAUGCGGGGUCGCUGCUCGUACGUGAUGGGUGUCUCUCGGACCUCUUUGUGAUGGAGUUUCAGCCAACGCUGCUAGAAGCGGAGUUGAGCUCUCAUUACUGGCGGUCGGUGCGGGAAAAAGCUCUUGGCGGGAUUACAGGCUUGUCACUGAGGCAGUAUCGCGCCCUCCUGGAGCUUCUGUCAGCGGCUGAGAAGCUUGUGGCCGCAGAAAUGCCCCCCGCUUCCCUGACUCGCGAUGUUUUGAAGAAUGCUGUGCGCUUUCUCUACACGUGCGGGCGCGGCCGUGGCCUUCUGGCAUGGCCGCUCGCAGAUCCGGCGGAGGGUUAUCAUCGCCUUCGGGUAGCCUUCACCUUGAGCUAUGAGUUCUACGCAGACCCUCUUGUUUUUUCGUGGCGCUUUCGAGGUGCGCCACGAGCAGGUUGCGUGGGGGAGGCGCAGAUACGCCACCUUGCAUCUGGCGCUGGCGUAGCCUCGUACCACGCUGCUGCUGCCGCUGGAUCUGGGAGUGCUGAAUCACAGUGUAUUAUAGAGACACUGAAAGAUGCUAUUAGCUACAUACUCGCGACCAUGAGGAGGCUCGGCUGGGUCUUGGUCUGGCAAGAAGAUCAUCAUCGCUGGCCAACCGCAGUGCCACCGCCGCACAUGCACCACCCCCACAUCAACGCUACGCGCUCUGCUUUUCCGCUGAGCAGAUGUACCGGGCCGGCGCUGCAGGAACGGAUUGCCGCGUCGCUGGAGAGGUGGCGCCACGAACAGCUGCGGUUCAACAACAAGAGAUAUGACGCUGACGUGUCGGCUGGGGCGUUGAAGACGCCCUCGUCUCACCAAACGGUUGAGUCGACGAGGGCAGCGGCUGCAGACGCGGCCACAGCGUCGCCGUACACGAGCCUCGAUGUGUGGCAGGCCGCUCUCAUCCCUGAAGACGCUGGCGUUUACCUGUGGGAAGGGCAAACGGUGUUUCUCGAUGAAGGUUGCCCGGGUGUCAUCGUCGAAUUCCGACCACCGCCGGCGGAGCUGUUCACGCCGAUCGAGCAGCACCCGACGGAGGCGAAGCGCGCGUACUGGCGUGCGCAGCAGGAGCUGCACGCCGACUUCAUCCGCUUUUAUCGCUGGCGCCGCGACUGUUUUGCCGCGGCAAACCCGCGGCAAGUCAGGGCCGCCUUCACCAGCCUCCCGCAUUACGUACGAGCACGGGAAAUGACGCACUUUCCUGUGGUGGAGCUGCUGCACGCAUCCCCAGAUGGUAAGCGACCGCUUGUGCAAGUGCUGCCGAUACGCGCAAUGCAGUACCACGUGGCGUAUCCGCGCGUGUGCGCCGUGAGUGGCGCGGAGCAGAAGAGCUGGCACGAAGCGCAAGGCCGGCCGGCGCCUUCCAAGGAUGAAUUGCGAGACGUGGUGUGGAGGCUAUCCACCACAGACGUGGACAACCGCUCUGCGUCGCAGGUGACGCUGUUGCGGCUUCCACUCUCGCCGUUUCGCAUUGAGGCGGCCGCGUUGCCUUUUGUGUCUCGUGUGAUGGAGCUCUCCAGGCGCCCUGUUGGCCAUCGCACGCAACGCGCUCUGUGGCACGCGACAACUACGAAGAAAAGGCAAGCGCUCUUUCAGCGUUUGAAUGUGGAGUGGGCCAGCUGCCAUGGAAAAACCGUCGUUCACGACAGGUUGUCUACUCCGCAGCUGCGGGCGGUGAAAGAACGUGCGCACAUUAACUGGAGGUUGGUACCCGCGUCGCGCCAUUCCUCGGCAGCACUCUAUUUUGCCUUCUUCACCGCUCAUCGCGACACUGUGCUGCCCUGAAAGCAGAGGAAGCGCUGACGGACGAUGAGACACUGCUGAGCCGCUAGCGUGAGCCCGCCCGUUGUCGACUUGCCCCUUGUUUUCGCUCCAUCGUCGAUCGGUUUUCCGCCGUGCGACAGCCGUGUGUCUCAUGCGCUAUUUUUUACCGCCUUCUUCACUGUAUCGCCUUAACCUUCACCCUCUCCGCCGCUCGGAGGUGACUGCCGCGACUGUGGUGUGCAGGUACUGCGUGUCCUUGCUCAUUUAUUCGUUUUCCAUCGAUUGCUCCUGCUUGUUAUCUCUGCUAGGUUGCUCCACUUCAUCUACACAAGGAUGCAUGAAUCCGCACCCUCCCUCUGAACCCCCAUCCCCCGUGCUCACAACAAUACACACACACACACAAAGCGG